AAAACAAUAAAAAUCAUAAGGCCGUAUCUUUGCUUUUACAUGACAAUUAACUUUUAAUGUUUUAAAUUCAGUUGCCCAAAAUAUUUUGCCACGUAUGAACUCAACGGACGAAGCCAUUUGACGCUUAACUUAUCAGAACGUUAAGAGAUCUGAACGAUCGAAUAUUUGAAGCUUCAACCGUCGACCAGUGAAAGUUGCACAAAAUAUUUUGCCACGUAUGAACUCAACGAACGAAGCCAUUUGACGCUUAACUUAUCAGAACGUUAAGAGAUCUGAAAGAUCGAAUGUUUGAAGCUUCAACCGUCCACCAGUAAAAGAUAAAUCAAACGAAGUUACAAUUCCAAACAAGAACAAUAUGCUUACCAAAAACAAAUCACUGCCAUCUUAAACAAGUAAGUCCACAUUUUAAAUGGAGCUAAAGAAUUUUGCUUAUCGUUGUGACGUUGCUAUUUUCUUUCGUCGAUGCUAAGUUGUUGACGCUAAGGUUGAUAUAUGCAAAUUCAUCGCAUUAAAUAACACAAGUUACGCAAUAUGGAAAUUACGACUAAGCUAUAGAGUUUCACGAAAAAGUUAUGGAAAUUCAAGAACAAUCGUCAGGUCCAAAUCAUGUUGAUGAUGCUCAGUCUUUGAACAAUCAUGGUAAUUUGUUUUAUGAAAGUGGAAAUUACGAAAAAGCUAUAGAGUUUUACGAAAAAGCUCUAGAAAUUCAA